GAUGAACGCUAGCGGCAGGCUUAACACAUGCAAGUCGAGGGGCAGCAGGGAGUAGCAAUACUCUGCUGGCGACCGGCGCACGGGUGCGUAACGCGUAUGCAACCUACCCACUACAGGGGGAUAACGGAGGGAAACUUCCACUAAUAUCCCAUGGUGUCACGGGACCGCAUGGUUUUGUGACUAAAGCUUCGGUGGUAGUGGAUGGGCAUGCGUGACAUUAGGUAGUUGGCGGGGCAACGGCCCACCAAGCCGACGAUGUCUAGGGGAGCUGAGAGGCUUAUCCCCCACACUGGUACUGAGACACGGACCAGACUCC
rnacentral:rRNA from 1 species